rnacentral:ncRNA from 1 species
CCGGCUCCGGUUCACGAUGCGGUACCGAUGCAUCCCCGCUCGCCCUGCGCGAGCCCGCUCGACCCGGCGGCC